UGAACGCUGGCGGCGUGCCUAAUACAUGCAAGUCGAGCGAACAGACGAGGAGCUUGCUCCUCUGACGUUAGCGGCGGACGGGUGAGUAACACGUGGAUAACCUACCUAUAAGACUGGGAUAACUUCGGGAAACCGGAGCUAAUACCGGAUAAUAUAUUGAACCGCAUGGUUCAAUAGUGAAAGACGGUUUUGCUGUCACUUAUAGAUGUAUCCGCGCCGCAUUAGCUAGUUGGUAGGGUAACGGCUUACCAAGGCAACGAUGCGUAGCCGACCUGAGAGGGUGAUCGGCAACACUGGAACUGAGAAACGGUCCAGACUCCUACGGGAGGAAGAAGUAGGAAAUCUUCCGCAAGGGGCGAAAGCCUGACGGAGCAACGCCGCGUGAGUGAUGAAGGUCUUCGGAUCGUAAAACUCUGUUAUUAGGGAAGAACAAAUGUGUAAGUAACUAUGCACGUCUUGACGGUACCUAAUCAGAAAGCCACGGCUAACUACGU
rnacentral:rRNA from 1 species